AACGAACGCUGGCGGCAUGCCUAACACAUGCAAGUCGAACGAGACCUUCGGGUCUAGUGGCGCACGGGUGCGUAACGCGUGGGAACCUGCCCUUAGGUUCGGAAUAACUCCCCGAAAGGGGUGCUAAUACCGGAUAAUGUCUUCGGACCAAAGAUUUAUCGCCUUUGGAUGGGCCCGCGUUGGAUUAGCUAGUUGGUAGGGUAAAAGCCUACCAAGGCGACGAUCCAUAGCUGGUCUGAGAGGAUGAUCAGCCACACUGGGACUGAGACACGGCCCAGACUCCUACGGGAGGCAGCAGUGGGGAAUAUUGGACAAUGGGCGAAAGCCUGAUCCAGCAAUGCCGCGUGAGUGAUGAGGGCCUGAGGGUUGUAAAGCUCUUUUACCCGGGAUGAUAAUGACAGUACCGGGAGAAUAAGCUCCGGCUAACUCCGUG
rnacentral:rRNA from 1 species